UGGGUUGUGGAUCAGCGGUAGAGCACUCUCCUAGCAUGGGUGAGGCACUGGGUUCUAUCCUCAGCACCACAU
rnacentral:tRNA from 1 species